rfam:Pteropus alecto contig49109, whole genome shotgun sequence.
GUCUACAGCCAUGCCACCCUGAAUGUGCCCGAUUUCGUCUGAUCUCAGAAGCUAAGCAGGGUCAGGCCUAGUUCGUACUUGGAUGGGAGACCACCUAGGAAUACUGGGUGCUGUAGGCG